rnacentral:rRNA from 1 species
AUGGAGUUGGUAAUCAAGGAGGGCCACAUGUACUUGUGUCGUGGCUGGGAGAAGUUCUACCAUGCCUACGACCUGCGGCUGGGGCAAUUCCUUCUCUUCAGGUACGACGAUGAUGCCACCAUGCUCAUCAUGAAGGUGUUCAACGCGACUAUGUGUCGCAUGCGCUACACUAAUGACAAUGACGCCAGCAGGCAAUGGGAGCAGCAGCAGCGACACUGGCUACAGCCAAAGCAGCAGCACACUGGCUACAGCCAAAGCAGCAGCGAUUCUGGUUGCAGCAAAGACAGUAAGGAGGAUGAUCCGGAUUGGAGUGAGGAAGAAGAGGAGCAGAGUGAGCAUUAG